rnacentral:sRNA from 1 species
ACAUUUAUGUUAUUGCCAGGAGGUCGAGAAUUCUCAUAUACGAUAAUUGGUUGUUUAGCUUGUUUACCCUAGUGGUUAUACUGUACAGAAAAUUUAGGAAACGACAGAGGACCUAGUUUCUUGUAUUGUGUCAGCUUGAAGACUAGAGACAACAAGGAAUGAAACGCAUACAAUUUGUUAUCGUUUGUAGCAUCAACUUAUUGUUUAUAGUUUUGGUAACAUUUUACAACGCAAAUUUUCUUUUUGCAAAUCGCUGUGACGAACGCAACAUCGUUACCAAAGAUCUUAAUGACAGUCUUUCUGAUGGACGUGAGAAUAGAAUUUCACAAGCCGAUCUCACAAAGCUGAACAAAGAUGUUUUAACUACAUCUACCAGUGAAAGCACCACGACGAAGUGUUCAGCCAGCAACAAGGAUCAGGGGGAGAGAAAUGACCCCCCUCUAGCCAAGUCCCCAGCUAUAAUCAGUAACACACCCAAUUCAACCAUGUAUCUGACGACUUUAUUUAGCGGGCGAUUUGGCAACCACUUGUUCAUCUACGCCACGCUACUGGGUGUGGCCAGGGCGCAAAAUAGGGUGCCUUUUAUAAGUGACAGAAUAGGCUUAGGAAAAGAUUUCCAAAUCUCAUUUAAUAAACCAAACAUCAGUUCGAAUGGGUAAGAUAUAAGAUUUGUUUUAUGAUAAUUUAUAACAUGGAUAUCAGGUCUAGCUCCCAUAAUUCUUGGCUUCUUUUCGCUCAUUUCUGAACUAAUUCGUCAAUGGCAGAAAAAACUUGUGUCCCACUUUUCGUUACCUAAAUGUCUGGCCACCUUAUUUUUUAUGAUGUUAUAUCAUCAGUUUUAUAGUCAGUUUCUAUGCUUUUAUGUAAUUAGUUCUUAUAUUAUCGUCAAUAGUUCGUAUUACGUUAUCUAAUCAGCUCUUAUUACGUUAUAUCAUCGGUUCUUAUGACGCUAAAUCAUCAGUUCUUGUGACGUUAUAUCAUUAGUUCUU